rnacentral:lncRNA from 1 species
AAUCAGAUGAAAUUUUGAUACAAAAUUUUUUAUACUAUUUACAACAAGAUCAAUAUUUCUGAUUGAAAAUUUUAGUGCUAUAUCACCACUUUUUAUAAAAUUUUUAUUUUCAGCCAUUAGCAAUCACCGGAACCUAAAAAGAGUCUCGGUAUAACCUAAAAAGAGUGUUGCUAAUUUACUAACACUUAUUUAAGUAUUUAGCAAUCGGCGGAACUCUAGCUCGUUGGCUGAGGUGGCGGAGGAUGAAGAGAGGGAAGGGCUCUUCAUCUAGAAUUUCAGUGGAUUGAGUGAGGGGAGAAAGGGGAGAUGGUAAUCGAUUUUUCUUUUUUUUUUCUUUUCUGUUUGUAAUUGGACCGAAUAGGAUAGGUGCGGUGGGUUGAGUAGAGUAACAUUUUAUUUUUGGUUCUAUUGGGCUUUAUAUUUAGACAUUAGAAGAUUUUUUUUUUAAAGUUUCGGCAUAAAUGGGACACUUACACAAAAGUGUUCCAAACAUGUGUCGCUGUAACCUAAUUCUGUUGUAGUGUUUCCAGAUAAUUUAAAUACUUAGAUCAUAUUUAACGGUACCGAUCAUUAAUUUGAAAGCUCUAUCAUCAAAAAGAAAUCGGUAGUAAAUCGAGCCGUUUACUACCGAUAGUAUUCUAACAAAACACUCUCUCUCUCUCUCUCUCUCUCUCUCUCUAUAUAUAUAUNACAAAUACAAUAGUUAUAACUAUUUGUAUUUUGUUUGAUUGGAUAUAAUAGAAAAUAUUGUCGGUAUAAAUAAUUUAUUUAUUUGUACGUGGUUGAAAAGUGUAUUUCUAAAAUUUUAUGAUUUUAUAUAUAUGGUAGCGAAAAUUAGUUUUAAUGUACAAUUUUGUUUAAAAAGUAAUGAUUUGGAAAGU